rnacentral:rRNA from 1 species
AUUGAACGCUGGCGGCAGGCCUAACACAUGCAAGUCGAGCGGAUGAAGGGAGAUUGCUCCUGGAUUCAGCGGCGGACGGGUGGGUAAGGCCUAGGAAUCUGCCUGGUAGUGGGGGAUAACGUCCGUAAACGGGCGCUAAUACCGCAUACGUCCUGAGGGAGAAAGGGGGGGAUCUUCGGAGCUAACGCUAUCAGAUGAGCCUAGGUCGGAUUAGCUAGUUGGUGUGGUAAAGGCCUACCAAGGCGACGAUCCGUAACUGAUCUGAGAGGAUGAUCAGUCACACUGGAACUGAGACACGGUCCAGACUCCUACGGGAGGCAGCAGUGGGGAAUCUUGGACAAUGGGCGAAAGCCUGAUCCAGCCAUGCCGCGUGUGUGAAGAAGGUCUUCGGAUUGUAAAGCACUUUAAGUUGGGAGGAAGGGCAGUAUGUUAAUCCCUUGCUGUUUUGACGUUACCAACAGAAUAAGCACCGGCUAACUUCGUG